rnacentral:rRNA from 1 species
GGCGAACGGGUGAGUAACACGUGGGCAAUCUGCCCUGCACUCUGGGACAAGCCCUGGAAACGGGGUCUAAUACCGGAUAUGACACGCUCCCGCAUGGGAUGCGUGUGGAAAGCUCCGGCGGUGCAGGAUGAGCCCGCGGCCUAUCAGCUUGUUGGUGGGGUGAUGGCCUACCAAGGCGACGACGGGUAGCCGGCCUGAGAGGGCGACCGGCCACACUGGGACUGAGACACGGCCCAGACUCCUACGGGAGGCAGCAGUGGGGAAUAUUGCACAAUGGGCGAAAGCCUGAUGCAGCGACGCCGCGUGAGGGAUGACGGCCUUCGGGUUGUAAACCUCUUUCAGCAGGGAAGAAGCGAGAGUGACGGUACCUGCAGAAGAAGCGCCGGCUAACUACGUGCCAGCAGCCGCGGUAAUACGUAGGGCGCAAGCGUUGUCCGGAAUUAUUGGGCGUAAAGAGCUCGUAGGCGGCUUGUCGCGUCGGAUGUGAAAGCCCGGGGCUUAACCCCGGGUCUGCAUUCGAUACGGGCAGGCUAGAGUUCGG